UGGCUCAGCCUGGUAGAGCACUGCGUUCGGGACGCAGGGGUCGGAGGUUCGAAUCCUCUCACUCCGACCA
rnacentral:tRNA from 1 species